rnacentral:rRNA from 1 species
GACAGAGGGUGCAAACGUUGUUCGGAAUUACUGGGCGUAAAGCGUGCGCAGGCGGUUUUGUAAGUCUGACGUGAAAGCCCCGGGCUUAACCUGGGAAUUGCGUUGGAGACUGCAAGGCUUGAAUCUGGCAGAGGGGGGUAGAAUUCCACGUGUAGCAGUGAAAUGCGUAGAGAUGUGGAGGAACACCGAUGGCGAAGGCAGCCCCCUGGGUCAAGAUUGACGCUCAUGCACGAAAGCGUGGGGAGCAAACAGG